AAUACGGUAGCAGGGGUUGCUGCCGCCACACCCCACACCUCCCCAGCCCACCCAAGCCCCUGGUUCCUGCGCACGAUGGCUGCUUUCCACUCCAGGCACCUGUGUCGCCCUCCCUGAAGAAUUCCUCUGCCCACACGAGCAGUGCUUGACCAACGUGACGGACGGGAGGUAUCAGAACACCGAAGCAUGAAGGAGAGGCCAUAGACUCCAGCUUCCCCGGCCUCUGGUGGGGACAAGGCUGAGUUGUGUCCAACACUCUCUGAGCCCCGAAGGCUGGCCCCUGCCCACAGCCGCCUCACCAGCUCCCCUUUGUUGCCUCUUCUCCCUUCUGUUCCCCGCGUCACUGGGCUCCCAGGCUCACCUCCCACAGAGACUCUGCACCAAACCUUCUCCAGAUCUGCUUUAGGGGAAGCCAAACACAGACAGACCCGCGUGACAUCCAACCACAGAGGCCAGGCUUGAAACCGUGCACCACAGCAGACGCACUGCAUGGGUGGUGACAGGCUCAAGACAGUCGCGGGACCGACAACACCAAGUCCGGGGUGGUGGCCGCUGCCACUCCCGCUGCGUGGGGGUGGGCUGGGAUAGGCUGGGGAUGCCCCCUGCGAAGGGCACCCCAGGGGUCACACACGUCGUGGAAUCAUUUACUUCGUAAGCACGGGUGGCAGGUCCCUGGGGGUGGUGAUGCAUGUAUUUCUUGAACGCCUGAAAUAUUUCAUCAUCAUCACGAAGCAAAGCAUGAGGCACUUAAGGAAGACCCAAAAUUCAGUGAGUGAGUCCCCAUCAACCACCAGAAACAGAAAACAGGUGUGUUGUGCUGACAGCCACAUGACCAAGGCUGGGAGGGCUCCCCUCCCUGAGACGCCAAGAUAAACACACCCACAGCAUCGCCCUGGAAAUGGUGGCUUACAGUUCAAAUGCUCAGGAGGGGAUAGGAAAAAAAAAUCAGGACAGCACCAUAGAGAACAAUUUCCCUCAUCAACUUCUGUGCUCCUCCUAAGGGCAGAGGACCUGCAAAUUACACCGCAGCCCCUUGAGUAGUUUCCACAAGGACCGAUGUUGAUGGGGAUCUAGAAAAACAAAGGCAAGCCAUGCCCCAGACAAGUCUCCAUCUCAGAAGCGGAAGUCCUUGGCAUAAGCCAACCAUAUUGGCAAAGCCCUCGCUGGGUGAAAAGUGCAAAGCGAGGACAAAGAGAUGAUGAGAAAACCAAGUCUGAAGAUUUACUUGGACAAGCUAAAGCCAAGGAGACAGAGCUGGAGCUGAAAAAAGAAAUCCAGUGUUAACAGGAGUUGCCCAGUGUGUUAACGGCUGUUGUCCAAUAUGGUAGCUGCUGGCCACAUGUGGCUACUGAACCCUGAAAUGUGGCCAAUGCAACUGAGAAACUGGAUUUUUAGUUUAAUUUAAUUUUAAUCAACCUAAAUUCAAAAACUGAUACUUGAUUCAGUUGUUAGGAAACUUUUGAAGUAUGUUUGAAACAACUUUAGAAGGUGAAUCUAGCUUUUCAACUGUGAACGGAGUCUUUUAUGGAAUUUACAGUUUUUAAAUAAAUGAUGAAAUGUACAUAACUUUACAAAUUUUCCAUUAACAUAUAACAUGCAAAUUGACAUACAAAUAAGUAUAAAAUGCACAUCGGAUUUCGAAGACUUGGUACCAAAAAAUAAUGUAAACUAUCUCAUUCGUAUUUUUUAAUAUUGUUGGCCUGUUGAAAUGGUAAUAUUUUAGAUGUGCUGGGUUAAGGAAUAUAUGUUGUUAAAAUUAUCUUCGCCUACUUCUUUUUAUUUUUUCAUGUGGCCAAUAGAAAAUUUAAAACUACAUAUGCAGCUUGAAUUCUGUUUCUAUUGGACAGGGUGGCUGCAGUCAGUCGGGAGCUGACAGAUACUUCUGGCCAGAGCGGCUGUUGACACCGCUCAAUUGUUCUGGUGCCUCCUGUCCUGUGCCCACUCCCCGGCCACCACCUUGGGAGUAAAUGUUAGCUGAGAAGCUGUUGCUCACCCAGAGAGGAAGUUUGGUGUAAUUAGAAAACUGAAUCAUAACUUAGAUAUUUUACAGCUCCCUCUGUUAUCACGGACUCUGGAACAUUCCAUAGAGUCUCAAUACGCUGAGUAAUUUCUGGGGAAUUUUGACUCUGAUCACCCAAGUAAUUGGGUCAGCCUUGGUCUGACUUCUCAAAACCCCAAAAGUCCUAUGCCCUGAAUAUGCCAGACUCUGUGGACCAGCUGAUGCACCCUGAGCUGCCGCAGGAAGAUUCUAGAGUUUGAGAUACAUAAGAAUACAAUGGUUUUGUAAAUCUAAAAUUAUUUCAAAUUAAAAAGUUUAUUUUUAAAAAUAUGUAACAAGUCUUGGGCCUGAAGCCAACCUGAAGAUUCCUCAUUUUAUGACCCCAAGAUAUGGCUUAGUAGUUCCUGAAGGAGUCAUUCUCUAGUUCUCUGCCUACCAAUAUGGCAGCCACCAGCCCUGUGGGGCUACUGAGUGCUUUCUCCCUUCGGGUGGAGUUGGAUCACAUGGAGAUACGCCACACAUGUGAAAUACACACCGAAUUCCAAAGGCUUAGUAUGGAAAAAUCAUGCAAAAUACCACCUUAAUAAUUUGUAUAUACUGAUCACGUGUUGAAAUGAUAAUAUUUCAGAUAUACUGGGCUAAGUAAAAUACAUUAUGAAAAUUAA